CAGUGAAGGGGAGCCACUGCAGCACUGGAGUCCGUGCUGGUGAUGCCACCACUUCCCGAGGGGCCUAGGCCAAACACUGAGGGACUGGUGGUGCUGCUUGGAGUCGUGGUUGAGGGUGUGGUUGUGGAAGGUGUGGUCGUGGAUGGUGUGGUUGUGGAUGGAGUUGUGCUGCUUCCUGUGGAGCUGAACGAAGGAGAGAACCCACAACAAUGUUAAUCACAGACCCUAAUUGAAUAUCAAAUUGAUAAGAAAAAGGAACAGAAGGAAGAACAGAUGUCAAUCUGAGAUCUGAAAUCAAUAUUUUUUCACCAUCAAGAGGAAAAAAAAACACAGGUAUCAACAUCAUGACAGCUCACAGCUUUAGUGGGGGAGAAACGUGUAAGGAUAUCAAUGUAAGAAAAUAUUAAAUAGGGUGAUGUAUCUACUUUCUGAACUACAGUCGACAAAAUUCUUAAUUCAAUGUCAAGAUUUAACCUAUCUUUGGAGGAGAAACCCCAAUUACAGAGGAAUCAACCAGGAAGAACAGCCCCCAUAAUCUAUCUUUUUAGAUUUCAAUAUUAUUGCCUUAUGCGAGAUAAAGCAGUGGGAAAUGGUUAUUUUGUAGAUUAAAAUUGGGGGAAAAACUUUAUUAUGGUGAUCAUCAUAAAAAGUUAAAAAAAAAACUCGAUAAAAGGGAGAUAAUAAACCACCCCAACCAAAAGAAUCAAACCAUGGAAAAGGGGAAAAUCUUAGGCAUGGAAAAGAUAUUUUUGAUCUGCAACAAGAAGAUUUUUUUAUCUGAAGCAGAUGCUCACUGCUAAACCAUGGGAAAAAGAUAAUACAUUUCAAAGUGAGAAGAGAACCCAUCUGACAAGAAACAGUCUAAAAAGACAGAAACCAGGAGGAAUAGAGGCAAACCUUGCACUUGUAGGAUAAACACAAGUUGAAACGCUGGCUGUAAAUCACCAAACAAUAGAGGAAGAGAAAAAAUCAGUAUUCCAUGAGGGUUGGGGAUGAUGAAAUUAGCGAGGUUUCACAAGGCACUUACAAGGGUUAGUCUGACUUUGGGUAGCAGUUCCUGCAAAAUCACAGCUCCCAGAAGCUUGACCCUUCUUCUGGAAAUAGCUGUUAACAGCAUAACUACAGUGAUCCUUCACAGUGUUGGGGUUGUAACAAGCCCCAUUUUGAAGAACUGGGG
rnacentral:lncRNA from 1 species